UACGUAGGGGGCAAGCGUUGUCCGGAAUCACUGGGCGUAAAGCGACCGCAGGCGGCCUGACAAGUCGGAUGUGAAAGCCCUGGGCUCAACUCAGGAAUUGCAUUCGAAACUGGCAGGCUCGAGUACGGGAGAGGGGGGUGGAAUUCCUGGUGUAGGGGUGAAAUUCGUUGAUAUCAGGAGGAACACCGGCGGCGAAGGCGGCCCCCUGGCCCGCAACUGACGCUCAUGGUCGAAAGCGUGGGGAGCAAACAGG
rnacentral:rRNA from 1 species